AGCGAACGCUGGCGGCAGGCUUAACACAUGCAAGUCGAACGGGCUUCUUCGGAAGUCAGUGGCAGACGGGUGAGUAACACGUGGGAACGUGCCCUUCGGUUCGGAAUAACUCAGGGAAACUUGAGCUAAUACCGGAUACGCCCUUUUGGGGGAAGGUUGACUGCCGAAGGAUCGGCCCGCGUCUGAUUAGCGUGUUGGUGGGGUAACGGCCUACCAAGGCGACGAUCAGUAGCUGGUCUGAGAGGAUGAUCAGCCACACUGGGACUGAGACACGGCCCAGACUCCUACGGGAGGCAGCAGUGGGGAAUAUUGGACAAUGGGCGCAAGCCUGAUCCAGCCAUGCCGCGUGAGUGAUGAAGGCCUUAGGGUUGUAAAGCUCUUUUGUCCGGGACGAUAAUGACGGUACCGGAAGAAUAAGCCCCGGCUAACUUCGUG
rnacentral:rRNA from 1 species